rnacentral:rRNA from 14 species
CUAGCUGGUCUGAUAGGAUGAUCAGCCACACUGGAACUGAGACACGGUCCAGACUCCUACGGGAGGCAGCAGUGGGGAAUAUUGGACAAUGGGCGAAAGCCUGAUCCAGCAAUUCCGCGUGUGUGAAGAAGGCCUUAGGGUUGUAAAGCACUUUAAUCAGGGAAGAAAAAGCUUUGGCUAAUAUCCAAAGCCUUGACGGUACCUGAAGAAUAAGCACCGGCAAACUCUGUGCCAGCAGCCGCGGUAAUACAGAGGGUGCGAGCGUUAAUCGGAUUUACUGGGCGUAAAGCGUGCGUAGGAGGCUUGUUAAGUCGGUUGUGAAAUCCCCGGGCUCAACCUGGGAACUGCAGUCGAUACUGGCAAGCUAGAGUUCGGUAGAGGGUGGUGGAAUUUCCGGUGUAGCGGUGAAAUGCGUAGAGAUCGGAAGGAACACCAAUGGCGAAGGCAACCACCUGGGCCUGAACUGACUCUGAGGCACGAAAGCGUGGGGAGCAAACAGGAUUAGAUACCCUGGUAGUCCACGCUGUAAACGAUGUCUACUAGCCGUCGGGGUCCUUAGUGACUUUGGUGGCGCAGCUAACGCGAUAAGUAGACCGCCUGGGGAGUACGGCCGCAAGGUUAAAACUCAAAUGAAUUGACGGGGGCCCGCACAAGCGGUGGAGCAUGUGGUUUAAUUCGAUGCAACGCGAAGAACCUUACCAGGUCUUGACAUCCUCGGAAUUUGGCAGAGAUGCCUUAGUGCCUUCGGGAGCCGAGUGACAGGUGCUGCAUGGCCGUCGUCAGCUCGUGUCGUGAGAUGUUGGGUUAAGUCC